GAGUCACCUUGGUAACCACUUCAGUGUGCGGUCCUGACUUCGGUGACUGCAUAGAUGGUUGUUCAGAUCUCGUCCUGUAAAUGUGCAGGGAUGAAGACCAUCACACUCCUGCACAUCACCUUUCUACUUCUGCCAGGAGUGGGCCCCUCAGAGGAGCCAGACAAACCCUGUGUAUUCCCCUUCGUCUACAAGAGCAAGAGCUACAGCAAGUGUAUUCUUCAUGAUGGCCUGAGGCCGCACGGCAAGUGCGCCACCACAGCCAACCUGGACCGCGACGGAGGAUGGAGAUGGUGCACAGGCGAGUUUGCUCUGUGUGUGUGUGUUUGUGUGUACUGUAGCGGUGUAUGGUUGUGUGCAUGUGUGUUUGUUUGUAGGCUCACCAUGC